rnacentral:rRNA from 1 species
CCUACGGUGGGCAGCAGUAAGGGAUAUUGGUCAAUGGGGGAAACCCUGAACCAGCAACGCCGCGUGAGGGAAGACGGUUUUCGGAUUGUAAACCUCUGUCCUCUGUGAAGAUGAUGACGGUACCCACCGAGGAAGCACCGGCUAACUCCGUGCCAGCAGCCGCGGUAAUACGGAGGGUGCAAGCGUUGUCCGGAAUCAUUGGGCGUAAAGAGUUCGUAGGCGGCAUGUAAAGUCAGGUGUUAAAGGCGCAGGCUCAACCUGUGUAUGGCACUUGAUACGUGCAAGCUGGAAUGCGGUAGAGGUAAAGGGAAUUCCUGGUGUAGCGGUGAAAUGCUUAGAUAUCAGGAGGAACAUCGGUGGCGUAAGCGCUUUACUGGGCCGUAAUUGACGCUGAGGAACGAAAGCCAGGGUAGCAAAUGGGAUUAGAUACCCCUGUAGUC